UACGUAGGGUGCAAGCGUUGUCCGGAUUUAUUGGGCGUAAAGAGCUCGUAGGCGGUUUGUCGCGUCGGCCGUGAAAUCUCCACGCUUAACGUGGAGCGUGCGGUCGAUACGGGCAGACUUGAGUUCGGUAGGGGAGACUGGAAUUCCUGGUGUAGCGGUGAAAUGCGCAGAUAUCAGGAAGAACACCCGUGGCUAAGGCGGUUCUCUAGUACGGUACUGACGCUGAGACGCGAAAGCGUGGGGAGCGAACAGG
rnacentral:rRNA from 1 species